GGUGGGUGACGGCNCCGUGGAGAAGAAGCACCGGCUAANUACGUGCCAGCAGCCGCGGUAAUACGUAGGGUNCAAGCGUUGUCCGGAUUUACUGGGCGUAAAGAGCUNGUAGGUGGUGUGUCGCGUCGUCUGUGAGAUUCCGGGGNUUAACUCCGGGCGUGCAGGCGAUACGGNCACGACUAGAGUGCUGUAGGGGUAACUGGAAUUCCUGGUGUAGCGGUGAAAUGCGCAGAUAUCAGGAGGAACACCGAUGGCGAAGGCAGGUUACUGGGCAGUUACUGACGCUGAGGAGCUAAAGCAUGGGGAGCGAACAGGAUUAGAUACCCUGGUAGUCCAUGCUGUAAACGGUGGGCGCUAGGUGUGGGCUGUGUGUUUGCAGUCUGUGCCGUAGCUAACGCAUUAAGCGCCCCGCCUGGGGAGUACGGCCGCAAGGCUAAAACUCAAAGGAAUUGACGGGGGCCCGCACAAGCGGCGGAGCAUGUGGAUUAAUUCGAUGCAACGCGAAGAACCUUACCUGGGUUUGACAUGCACCAGAUCGGCGUAGAGAUACGCCUUCCCUUGUGGUUGGUGCACAGGUGGUGCAUGGUUGUCGUCAGCUCGUGUCGUGAGAUGUUGGGUUAAGUCCCGCAACGAGCGCAACCCUUGUCUUAUGUUGCCAGCACAUUUUUGGUGGGGACUCAUGAGAAACUGCCGGGGUCAACUCGGAGGAAGGUGGGGAUGACGUCAAAUCAUCAUGCCCUUUAUACCCAGGGCUUCACACAUGCUACAAUGGUCGGUACAACGGGUUGCGACACUGUGAAGUGAAGCUAAUCUCUUAAAGCCGGCCUCAGUUCGGAUUGGGGUCUGCAACUCGACCCCAUGAAGUCGGAGUCGCUAGUAAUCGCAGAUCAGCAACGCUGCGGUGAAUACGUUCCCGGGCCUUGUACACACCGCCCGUCACGUCAUGAAAGUUGGUAACACCCGAAGCCCAUG
rnacentral:rRNA from 1 species